GUUGCUGGAUGCAGGCCUCACUCUACUCCGCAGUCAGUAAUUGUAUGAUUCACACAUCCGCAAACUGUGGACAAAUUCAUUGUUUUAUUGAAAGUGUACAGCUGAAUUAGGUAUUUUUGUUAAAAGUACUAUCGGUUUUGAGUUAGGAAUACUUUCUUUUUUUAAAUUUUAUUUUAGCCCUUUUUCUCCCCAAUUUCGUGGUAUCCAAUUGUUUUUAGUAGCUACUAUCUUGUCUCAUCGCUACAACUCCCGUAUGGACUCUUGAGAAACGAAGGUUGAAAGUCAUGCGUCCUCCGAUACACAACCCAACCAAGCCGCACUGCUUCUUAACACAGCGCGCAUCCAACGCGGAAGCCAGCCGCACCAAGCACUGCGCCCGGCCCGCCACAAGAGUCGCUGGUGCGCGAUGAGACAAGGAUUUCCCCACCGGCCAAGCCCUCCCUAACCCGGACAACGCUAGGCCAAUUGUGCGUCGCCCCACGGACCUCCCGGUCGUGGUUACGACAGAACCUGGGCGUAAACCCAGAGUCUUUGAUGGCCCAGCUAGCGCUGCAGUACAACGCCCUUAACCACUGCGCCACCUGGGAGGCCCUGGAAAUGUAUACUUUCAACCUAAAAUAUUAGCGAUUAUUUUACAUCAUUAUUUUAUGUAGCAGAUUGCCACAGCAGCGGAGAUGGGUAACAACUGCACAUGAGCGCCCUCGUGGGGGACACCCAGCUACUUAGAAACGUCACGAUAAUAUGCCCUUAUAUGGAGGUUGGUGUCACAUGUUUUUUGGGGGGGUAGAACUAGUGAGGAUAUUGAAAGAUGCAGUAUGUAACUGUUAAGGUGACCGGAAAAAUAAAAUAAGUGAAGGUUCUAUGAUCUGUCAUUGUCAUUGAAAACAAGUCUAAGAAGCGGCAGAUUGUUAUUUCUAUGCUUUCCGUUUCACCUGGAAGACAGUGCAGUGGCAUUAUAAGUAGCCAACUAGUGGGAUGUUGACGUUGUCGAACCUUAUUUAGUUGAGCCAGAGUAACUUAUUCUGACAAAAAAUGUAGGCAAACUGAACUUCAGAUGGCAGUCACCGUUUUAGAAACCCUUCCCCAGGAUCAACACAGUCUGGUGGUUGAAUGCACAAGACAAGAGGUUGAAGUGCCGUUGAAAAGGAGGCUGAAGAUCAAAGUUCCUGCCUUCUCCUUCUCGCCAACGACCCCUUAAACUUGAGAAAUCCAUCAUCAAUAUUGACACAGCUGCUCAGCUUCAAUGAAGAAAUGCUCGCCCCCAUUAAACAAAAACAAUGCCAGGUGCACCGGGUGCAUAUUUCCAGAAGAAAAAAAUCUCUCCACUCAAGAAAACUUGCGCAAAGAGGGAUGAGUAUGAUCCCACUCCAACAGAAACAAGCUCAUUUGAGGCAGCCUGUGAACAUUGUAGUGUGGGUGCUAAAAUGUUUGCAGAGCUGCCUGCCAUGAUUGCCAUCCAUGGCGAUUGAGAUACUUGGAGAGGACACUUGAGUACCUGAUUUAUUAAGGUGGGUUUUAUACAACAAAGGGAGACAAUGAAAAAUAAUGAUGUUCUCCCAUGAUUUGACCAUAAUACAGCGCUCUCUCUCUCUCUCUCUCUCUCUCUCUCUCUCUCUCUCUCUCUCUCUCUCUCUCUCUCUCUCUCUCUCUCUCUCUCUCUCACUCUCCAUUGGAGGAGGAUGAGGUAGAACCAAAUGAGUGGGUGUAAACAUCAGAGCCAGACAUUGGCCAAACAGAGACACAGAGGCAGGCAGGUGCACUGAGCUCCUCUGUCUCUCUGUAGCUCCCUAGCUCAGCUUGCCAGUUCACAGAAUGUCAAGCGUGCUCCAAACAUGCUGCGUUGAGAGAGCGCAAUGACACUCAACCUGCUCAGAGACACAGAGAGGCCCUUGAGUGCUUCUUUCAUGUGUGUUCAUCCACGGAGCCAUUUAAUUCCAUUGUUUAUUUCCUCUUUCAAGCAUUUGUCGGUUAGAUCCUGGCUCUAUCCCUGGUGGAGCUUCUCGAUAUGUAGCUAGUGACUCAAUAAAGUCUGGGGUUUGUCUGA